AGAUGAUAAAGAAUCUGAGUUAACUAGUUUCUCUGGUUAACUAGUUUCUCCUGAGGGCAGACCUUGUUAAGAAAACCAGAAUGCUCUGGUGUAUUUAAAAUGGCCAUGUCACUCCCCUUCCCCUGCAGGAGGUAUGAGGCGAUUUUUCUCCUAUCUUCACCUUGAGAAACUGGUCAAGCUCUGGAGGUAAAACUCACAGAAGUGUGGGGACCUCCCUGGAGACUCUGAGUUCCACACUUGUCCCCACUAAGCCUCCAGCAACUUAUCAAUUACGGCUCAGGUUUUCUUACCCUGGAUUGGUCCACAUGGAGAUUUCUGCUCUGGUUUUCUUAGUGUCUUUGCAAAGGCUUAGAAUCGGACUGUAGCCAAGGCGGCUUGGUCCUGUCUGCAUAGUCAAGCUUGUUUCUACCACUAGAGAGUCUCGGAGGCCAGCGGGACCUGCCCCAGGCCUCUCUCCAAGCUCCUGGAGGCUUGCCGGCCGGCCGUGGCAUUCCUCGAUUUCUGCUGCGUCAUCGGACCUCUGCCUUCCUCCUCUGUUACCCAUCUCUGAAUCACAUGCUAUGUGCCCUGCUUUUUUCCACUUGCUGGUAUUGUUGGAAGAUCAUUCCAUCUCAAAUAUUUAUACUAUUUUAUGUUGAUUCAUAGCUUUAGCAUGCUUUAAUUUGUAUCAUAAUUUAUCAACCAUUCUCUUAUUUUUCAGCAGUUCAGUAGCCUCCAUUUAUU
ensembl:lncRNA